CGGUGUGCAGCACCACCUUCACAGAGUUCUCUCAGCCUUGCUACUGAGAGGUAAAUGUGGUUUUCUGACAAGUGUUGAUUCUAUGCCUGUCUUGAAGUGCAGAAGCCUUCUGAGCCUAUGCACUUGGGAGUCAGAGGCAGGAGGAUCUCUGAGUUCAAGUCCAGCCUGGUCUACAGAGUGAGUUCCAAGACAGCCAGGGCUAUACAGAGAAACCCUGUCUCGAAACACCAAAAAGAGAAGAAAACGAAAAUCACUCCAAUUAUUUAAGAGGCUGACAGAAAAUAAUGAAGCUUAAAUCACAGAAACAUAAAAGGCAAGCGCCAAACUUAACUCAGUGGCAGAACCCUCGCCUCACAAGCCUUUCCCAUCCCCAGCACAGCGGCUGUGCCACCUUGAAUAAUGAACAAUAAAUACCAUUUAAAAUAUG